AACGAACAAAAAGUGAGCAGCCUGUUUGCAUUGAAACAAUCGUCGACUAUUCGAUUUGUGAACAUUACAAAUGAAAAAUACGCCAACGACUGGGAAAACUCAUAAUUUCUCUUAUUUGUAUCGCUUCUGCGUAUAACCUUUCUUGUUUUCACCAAACCCUACCGGCCAUCGCUUCAACCACACCUUUUCCGUUACUUCACCGUUCCUGUUCCUCUGUCACUCUUUUUCAUGAUGGUAUUUUCACAGGGGGCUAAAAAUGCUGAAAAGCCAGGCCAAGGGCGGUGAUCGGGACCAUCAGAAACUCAGCAGCUAAUCAAGGCGAUUGCGUGCACGAUCGAAUUCGAUCUAGACAACUGAACCCAGCUAUGCGUCAUUUUGGGUGCUUUGUCGUUAUCAAUAUCGAAUACAAUCAUGCACAUAAACGCACUUUCGUUCAGCGAACGCCACGCGAAGGCAGUGCACACGUCAAAGCGAUCACCCAUCCCGGAAUUGAUCUCGUUCGAGUUUAUCGUGGAAGCCAUACACCCACCGCUUAUCAAUUGUUGUCGGUCACUCGGAAAAUUCAAUCGACAGUCAUCGUGCUGUCAAGUCGGGUGAAGACAGUCAAGACAGCGGGUGGUCGUGUACAGUCGAUUUCAUCAUUGAAGGCCAACGAAUGAGAAAUUUCAGUUUCGAACGAGCCUGCUCGGCUACCUGCUACGUGUCUCCAUAUAUUUCGGAUGAAAAAUCUAUUUUUUGAUACUGGCCGACGACCCUCCUCGUGCCUAUGGGAAUGACAGAGACACUGACGACCGAACUAACGCUCAUCAAGAUCGAAAAAUAAUUAUUUUAACAAAUCGAUCUUCCACUAUUUUCACGGAAAUGAUGUAUGCGAAAAUGAAAAAACCAAGCUUGUGUAUGGAUUUUUACAGCGAGUUCGAGCGAAAAAACCGAAGUGCUAAUAAGUAGAUACCAGUGUGUUGUAUAAGUUGGUCGUAGAUAUGAUUUUUUACAAUGAUCGAAUGUGAAUUUA